ensembl:lncRNA
CGGGGCCGGAGCAGCCCGGCGCCCUGGCCCUCGGCGCGCCGCCGCCUUCAGGGUGGCGCAGGAAGGCAGGACCGCAGCCCCGCUACACUCCAGGCCUUGGUCUGGACCCCACUGCCUAAUGCGGCGUAGGAGUCAACAGUGAGUCCUCUGUUCACUAACUCAGCGUGCAUUUCAGGGCAGAAACAUGAAGCCCUUUAAGCUUUGGGGGCGUCCACCAAAUAUAUAUUGAACGCCUACACUGUGCGGUUUAGGCACUGAGAAUACAGCAGUCAGCGAGGCGAGAGCUGGCCUGGGGCGUGGGGGUGCAUUGCAGAGAGUGGGGUAAACCCUGCGCUUCAGCCUGAGCGGGAGGAGGGAUGAGGAGGAGCACUGGCAUCUUCUCCCCCUGAAGUCUGAGAAGAGGGCAGGAAGGGAUGAAAGCUCACAGCUCCCAGUCCUGCCAGGCCUUGUUUGGGAGGCUUGGCCAGCCUGAGGUCCCCCAACCCCACCCCUAGGGAUUUGGGGAGGAGGGGCUGGGUGGGUAGAGGGCGGCCCUGAGCUGAGCUCAGAGUCUGGAAAGCUAGCUGUGUGAUCUUGGGCGCGUCAUUCUGCCUCCCUCGGCCUGUUUUCUCGUCGCUCGGCAGGAGUCACGAUACUUCACAGCAUUGGUGGUGCUGUGCUGAAAGGCUUCGGAAAUCGUAAGCAGGGUCCAGGUUGCGGCUCACAUCAGAGACCUUGCCAAAUCAGGCGUGAGCCAGGGUGUAUUGUUUAUUCAUAGUGUUUAUUUAGAGACUCAAGUGACCCUGUGGAUAACCUGUGAGUGCUCUCGGUAAAGAAAUGUAAGAGGCAGAGGAAGGGUGGCUGAGUCGAAGGCUGGGAGCCUGAGCUUCCCUGCUUUGCUGUCUCAGGAAAUAGAGCCUGUGUCCCGGUCCGCAUUUCAGCUUUCAGAACCCUUGCGGUCACAUGUUCUGCAUCACACAGGUGGCUCAGGCCCUCAGUCUGCAGUUUCCGGAGUCAUCCUGAACAAGCUAAGUGACCUGUCUGUGCCUCGGUUGCCUCGCCUGUAAAAUACCUGUCCCCAGGGUUGUCAUGGGGACGAAAGAGGCCAAAGCCGCGAAGGGCCCUGAGUAGAGCUGCCACCCUGGGAUCCUUGCCAAGGCCUGGGAGCGGUUAGAUGGCACAGUUGGCUGCCUUGGUUGCCGUGACCAAGCAAGUACCAGAAUGGCACCAUUUAGACACUGGGGGCACAGCGGUCGGUAAGACACAUGCUGCCCUGGUUGGGGUGGCAGGGAGGGAGGUUCGUCAAGGUCACAGCCUGGAGAGUUUCUCGUGAGCCUGCAAUCAUCUUUCCCUGCACUGGUACCACGAGGCUGCAAGUGGCUGGAUCAGCCUCCCG